rnacentral:rRNA from 1 species
UGGGGAAUCUUGCACAAUGGGGGCAACCCUGAUGCAGCGACGCCGCGUGAGCGAUGAAGCCCUUCGGGGCGUAAAGCUCUUUCGACCGGAACGAUAAUGACGGUACCGGGAGAAGAAGCUGCGGCUAACUACGUGCCAGCAGCCGCGGUAAUACGUAGGCAGCAAGCGUUGUUCGGAGUUACUGGGCGUAAAGAGUGCGUAGGCGGUUUUCUAAGGUCGGUGUGAAAUCUCCCGGCUUAACUGGGAGGGUGCGCCGAAGACUGGGAAGCUGGAGUGUGGGAAAGGCAGGCGGAAUUCCUGGUGUAGCGGUGAAAUGCGUAGAUAUCAGGAGGAACACCGGCGGUGUAGACGGCUUGCUAGACCAUAACUGACGCUGAGGCACGAAAGCGUGGGUAGCAAACA